UAGUGAGUUUAAUUAUUGUUAUACAUUUAUAGCUGCUGUAAAUGUGUCGUCAGAAGUAAACGUGUAAUAUUAUUACACUUUACACAAAGUAUUCAGGUGGAAAUGGGAGGACAACAUCCUUACAGAUUGCAUAUACGUGGAAAUCAGUACCAGAAGUAGAAUUUGGUUAUUAUUUUGACUUCAGAAAAAUACAUACUUGUACGACAUACGAGAUCUGAGAGCAACGGACAUUUAAAUAUUGAUUCUUACAUAGCAAGAGAUAACAACAAGAGCAUGGGGAUCUGUGGUGGGGCACACUAAAGUUUGCAGAUUGGGUGCUCACAAUAAUUUGAAGACAUUCAUCCGUAGCAUCUUGGCAGUCCCCAAUUGAAAUUAUAGACCAAUUUAGAACAACAUUUUAAACAGAGCUUUACAUUCACUCCACAUUUGUUUCACAUCAACAUCAGAAUGGCACCGAACAAAUUCAACCACAAAAUCACUGCCUACUCACCGUGGCGGUUGUGACAAUUCCAUAACUUCAAGCAAGCAAGCAGUGAUCGUAUUUGCUUGUUAACAGAGCAAUAAUUGUUCAUCUUUUCGUUUCCUGCCAGUCAGCCCAUACAUCUAGUUUAUUCAACAUAGUUUAAAUUUUUGGGAAAUAAUGAAUCCAAUGCAUUUAUUUAUUAUAUUAUGUGCCAGGACUUUUAUUUAUAUGUUUAUACUUAUCAUAUAUAGAUAGAUUCCGGUAUCUAAUAAACUAAUUACAUCUUAAAGCUAAAUUAAUUUUAAAAGGUAAGAUGAUUGCUACAAUAUACAAUUAUCUAUCCCUAUAACCGUAAAUACAUUUAUGGAUAUUUGCUUAACUAUUGUAUCUAUUGAAUUUCUGUAUGUAUUACCUAUAAUUGAUUCUGUACCGUUUGCCUUUGAGGUGUUAUCCUCAAAUAAAUAAAAACAUUUGUAUAACAUAAAUUAAAAUCACCCCACAUACUUCAUUACCUAUUUUGUCACAGUAUUCUUGUUUGAGUAAUACACCUCAUUGUUUAUACAACAGUAUGUAGAUGUCUAUAGGCUUUUCAUUUUAAAAUACAUAAAUAUAUAAUACAUAGAACACACACGAACUAAAUUAAUGAAUAAAACCACAAAACUAAUCGUUAAGUACUAUUUUACUUUAUCUUGACAAUUCUGAUAUAAACCGUUAAUUCAAUUUCAGCAAAAAAUAAAAAUAUAUUGCUCUGCUGUACAGUAGGUUACAUGUGGGUCACUUUAUAAUGGAUUGUAUUAAAUUUAAAUUGAAUGAUAUUAUAUCAUUGUAUACAAAAAACGUAUAGGUUUUUAUUUCUUUUUUUAUGGUCAGUCAGGAUUUUAUAUUGUUAUUAUUUAUUAUAGCCUAUAAGUUGAAUUAAUAUUAUAAUAUUAUUACUUUUUAUUCGUUUCUAUAGUGACAAACUAAGCGUUAGAAAUUAAAAUCUAAUUUUUAGCGGUUUUUUGUAAUUUGUCGGUGGUUUUUCCCGUGGCAUUAAAUAACUAUUGAGAAAAUCGAAAAAUGACUUCUUUAAAGUACCAUCUUGAUCCAAUUUGCUAAAAGAUAAGGUACUAUAAGUUGAAAUCAAAGCACUCCUUCUGGUAGAAAUUUUGUAUACAGGAUAUAAAAAAAAAAAAUAAAUAAACAUCAUUGUAAAACCACUAGCUUCCUCGCUCCGCUCAGAAUCUAAAAUAUACUCGUCUAAUUAUUAUAACUUGUCUAUUUCUAAAUACUAUUGUUGUAAUAAUUCCAUGUAUUUAAACAACAUAAUAUGACAUAUUAUGAUUAUUUUAUUAUCAGUGAGUCAAUACAAUUAUUUAUAUAAAUAGGUACCACUACAACAACAACAAAUAUUUAAUAAAUAAUAUUAAGAUUAAAUAUGUCCUUGAUUCUUAUUACAAUUGUUUAGAUAAUUUGUUAUUCACUUUUAAUUUUUUGUAACUGUACAAUUUAUAAUAAUUGAUAAUUUUGAACUGUAUCUAAUUUUAUAGUUUAAUAUAAGUUUUUUAAAUAUGGGAUGAAUUUUUUUUGUAUUUAAUUCUAUCUUUAAAUAUAUUAUACAGAAAGACCUGACAAAAAAAACAAAUUAUAUUACUUAAACGUAGGUAUGACAAAAAUUGUGAAAAUGAUAUGGUUAAUACAUUAUUUAAGAAAUAUCCUCAUGUAAGGGGUAUAAAAAUUCCCAUCGUAACAAUGUAACCUAUAUUAAUUGAAUGCAUUUUUAUGAAGCUAAACAAAAUGUAUUACCUAUUUGUUGUUAAAUCACCUUUAUGGAUUAAUUGUAUAAUAUGUAAUUAACAUAAUAAACACAAUAAACAUAAUAAACAUAAUUACUGAUUAACCUAACCUAACCUGAAUGAUUUAUAGCUGAUAAAAAAUCAUAUUUGUUAUUAUAUUAUAUUAUUGUAUAUUAUAAUUUACUAUAGUUUGUCCUGCAAGAAAACGCGUGGUUCGGCGAGUGUAGACACUAUAUAGACGUGUGACAGCAGAACACUCAGUGAGCCCCCGCCCUCACAAAGUAACCCACAUGCGCACCCGAUUAUGGGCUUCGCCGAUGUGGUGGUCUGGGUGGGAAUGAUGUUUCUUGCUGGGUGGUGUUCGGGCUGUAGAGAUUUUCAGAACAAACCGAUUUUUGUCGGGCCGCAACAUGUCUCUCUAAAGAAAUUAAAAUUCCCAUUUUAAUAUAUAUUGGAUGGAUUACAUGAUUUAUUCCUAAUUUGUUAGUUAAUAAUAUAUAAUAAAAAAUAUGUUAGAUUAAUAACACAAGUAUUCAAUUUGAAUGUUA